GUGGGGAAUCUUGCGCAAUGGGCGAAAGCCUGACGCAGCCAUGCCGCGUGAAUGAUGAAGGUCUUAGGAUUGUAAAAUUCUUUCACCGGGGACGAUAAUGACGGUACCCGGAGAAGAAGCUCCGGCUAACUUCGUGCCAGCAGCCGCGGUAAUACGAAGGGGCUAGCGUUGCUCGGAAUUACUGGGCGUAAAGGGCGCGUAGGCGGACAGCUUAGUCAGAGGUGAAAGCCCAGGGCUCAACCUUGGAAUUGCCUUUGAUACUGGCAGUCUUGAGUUUGGGAGAGGUGAGUGGAACUCCGAGUGUAGAGGUGAAAGUCGUAGAUAUUCGGAAGACAACAAGUGGCGAAGGCGACUCACUGGCCCAAUACUGACGCUGAGGCGCGAAAGCGUGGGGAGCAAACAGGAUUAGAAACCCAAGUAGUCC
rnacentral:rRNA from 1 species